rnacentral:tRNA from 1 species
GCCUGGGUGGCUCAGUCAGUUGAGUGCCUGACUUUGGCUCAGGUCACGGUCUCGUGGUUUGUGAGUUCGAACCCCACAUCAGGCU